UGUGGUGCAGUCCUUCGUGAUAAUAGAGAUUUAUUUAUGGGAGCUUCAACUGCGAACUUGGAAAAUAUUUCAGAUGUUGUUUCAACUGAGGCUGAUGCAGUAGUUGAAGGACCGAAGUUGGCCCUAAGCAUUGGAUGCGAUUCCAUCAUUGUGCAAAUGGAUAACUUGGUUGUUGUCGAAGCAUUAAACGCUAAUACUACCGGACAUUCAAUGAUGACAGCCCUAAUUCUUGAAGAUUGUCUAAGUUUGUUGGAAGAUUUUGGGAAGGUUUUUAUUGAGUAUUGUAAUAGAGAUUCAAAUAUGGUUGCUCACACGCUAGCUCAACGGGACGUGUUGAUUCACUGGCUGUAUGGUCGGACUUGCCUCCCCAUUUUAUAA
rnacentral:rRNA from 1 species